GACGAACGCUGGCGGCGUGCUUAACACAUGCAAGUCGAACGGAGCGAAUGAAAGCUUGCUUUUAUAAGCUUAGUGGCAAACGGGUGAGUAACACGUAGACAACCUGCCGACAGGAUGGGGACAACAUUCCGAAAGGAAUGCUAAUACCGAAUGAAGUGCAGGGGAGGCAUCUCCCCUGCAUGAAAGAUGGCCUCUGAAUAUGCUAUUACCUGUUGAUGGGUCUGCGUCUGAUUAGCUGGUAGGUGAGGUAACGGCUCACCUAGGCGACGAUCAGUAGCCGGUCUGAGAGGAUGAACGGCCACAUUGGGACUGAGACACGGCCCAGACUCCUACGGGAGGCAGCAGUGGGGAAUCUUCCGCAAUGGGCGCAAGCCUGACGGAGCAACGCCGCGUGAGUGAAGAAGGUCUUCGGAUCGUAAAGCUCUGUUGAUGGGGACGAACGUGCCUAAUGCGAAUAGUUUUAGGUAAGACGGUACC
rnacentral:rRNA from 1 species